rnacentral:rRNA from 1 species
AACGAACGCUAGCGGUGUGGAUUAGGCAUGCAAGUCGCGCGCGAAAGCCUUCGGGCGAGUAAAGCGGCGAAAGGGUGAGUAACACGUAACCAACGUACCCCCUCAGACUGGGAUAACCACUGGAAACGGUGGAUAAUACCGGAUGGUCCACUGGGCAGCAUUGCCUGGCUGGUAAACGGCGGCCGCAAGGCGGUUGCUGAGGGAGCGGGUUGCGGCCUAUCAGCUUGUUGGUGAGGUAACGGCUCACCAAGGCUAUGACGGGUAACAGGUCUGAGAGGAUGAUCUGCCACACUGGGACUGAGACACUGCCCAGACUCCUACGGGAGGCUGCAGUCGAGAAUCUUCCACAAUGGGCGAAAGCCUGAUGGAGCGACACCGCGUGCAGGAUGAAGGCC